rnacentral:rRNA from 1 species
AGCGAACGCUGGCGGCAGGCCUAACACAUGCAAGUCGAACGAAGUCUUCGGACUUAGUGGCGGACGGGUGAGUAACACGUGGGAACGUACCUUUUGGUUCGGAACAACACAGGGAAACUUGUGCUAAUACCGGAUGAGCCCUUAGGGGGAAAGAUUUAUCGCCGAAAGAGCGGCCCGCGUUGGAUUAGGUAGUUGGUGUGGUAAAGGCGCACCAAGCCUACGAUCCAUAGCUGGUCUGAGAGGAUGAUCAGCCACACUGGGACUGAGACACGGCCCAGACUCCUACGGGAGGCAGCAGUGGGGAAUCUUGCGCAAUGGGCGAAAGCCUGACGCAGCCAUGCCGCGUGAAUGAUGAAGGUCUUAGGAUUGUAAAAUUCUUUUACCAGGGACGAUAAUGACGGUACCUGGAGAAAAAGCCCCGGCUAACUUCGUGCCAGCCGCCGCAGUAAUAC